GGAUGUAGCUUAAGCGGUAGCACGCUCGCCUGGAAUGCGAAGAGCGCUGAGUUCGAUCCUCAGCACCA
rnacentral:tRNA from 1 species